rnacentral:rRNA from 1 species
GACGAACGCUGGCGGCGUGCUUAACACAUGCAAGUCGAGCGGUAAGGCCUCUUCGGGGGUACACGAGCGGCGAACGGGUGAGUAACACGUGGGUGACCUGCCCUCAGCUCUGGGAUAAGCCUGGGAAACUGGGUCUAAUACCGGAUAUGACCACAUGUUGCAUGGUGUGUGGUGGAAAGUUUUUUCGGCUGGGGAUGGGCCCGCGGCCUAUCAGCUUGUUGGUGGGGUGAUGGCCUACCAAGGCGACGACGGGUAGCCGGCCUGAGAGGGCGACCGGCCACACUGGAACUGAGACACGGCCCAGACUCCUACGGGAGGCAGCAGUGGGGAAUAUUACGUAAUGGGAGGAAGCCAGACGCAGCGACGCCGCGUGGGGGAUAACGGCCUUCGGGUUGGAAUCCUCUUUCGACCGGGACGAAGCGUAAGUGACGGUACCGGUAGAAGAAGCACCGGCCAACUACGUG